ensembl:lncRNA
AUGUUCUCCACCUCCAUUGUCAACGUGGUCACUCUGAGCUGUGGCCGUAAGGUCUCUGGUGCCUGUCGAGGCAGCAAUCCCCGAACCCGGUGGUGGACACCGGAAGUAAGCGAUGCCGUCAAGCUGAAGAAGCAGUCCUACCAGGCCUGGCUGGCUUGUGGGACUCCUGAGGCAGCUGACGGGUACCAGCAGGCCAACCGGGCUUGCAGUCGGGUGGUUGAGGAGGCAAAAAAUUGGGUCUGGGAGGAGUUUGGUGAGGCCAUGGAGAAAGACUAUCGGUUGACUGGAGGGUGUGUUCCAACUACGGGGGAUCACACUCCUCAGCCUUCCUGGGAAAGUCUAUGCCAGGGUACUGGAGAGGAGAAUUUGGCCGAUAGUCGAACCUUGGAUUCAGGAGGAACAAUGCGGUUUUCUUCCCGGUCGUGGAACAUUGGACCAGCUUUAUACCCUCGCCGGGGUGCUGGAGGGUUCAUGGGAGUUUGCCCAACCAAUCCACAUGUGUUUUGUGGAUUUGGAGAAGGCAUUCGACCGUGUCCCUUACGGCAUCCUGCGGGGGGUGCUCCAGGAGUAUGGGGUCAGGGUCCUCUGUUAAGGGCUGUCCGGUCCCUGUAUGACUGGAGCAGGAGCUUGGUUCGCAUUGCCGGCAGUAAGUCAGACUUGUUCCAGGUAAAUGUUGGACUCCGGCAGGGCUGCCCUUUAUCACCGGUCCUGUUCAUUAUUUUUAUGGACAGGAUUUCUAGGUGCAGCCAGGGGCCGGAGUGUGUCCGGUUUGGAGACCACAUGAUUUUGUCUUUGCUUUUUGCAGAUGAUGUUGUCAAGUUGGUUUCAUCAGGCCAGGACCUUCAGCGUGUGCUGGGACGGUUUGCAGCCGAGUGUGAAGCAGCUGGGUUGAGAAUCAGCACCUCCAAGUCCGAGGCCAUGGUUCUCAGCCGGAAAAGGGUGGCUUGUCCCCUUCAGGUUGGUGGAGAGCUCCUGCCUCAAGUGGAGGAGUUCAAGUAUCUUGGGGUCUUGUUCACCAGUGAGGGAAGAAUGGAAAGGGGGAUUGACAGGCGGAUAGGUGCAGCUUCUGCAGUGAUGCGGUCGAUGUACCUGUCUGUCGUGGUAAAGAAGGAGCUGAGCUGCAAGGCAAAGAUCACGAUUUUCCAGUCGAUCUAUGUUCCUACUCUCACCCAUGGUCAUGAGCUGUGGGUCAUGACCAAAAGGAUAAGAUCCUGGAUACAGGCGGCCGAACCUUUCUCCAUAGGGUGGCUGGGCGCUCCCUUAGAGAUAGGGUGA